rnacentral:rRNA from 1 species
GAUGAACGCUGGCGGCGUGCCUAAUACAUGCAAGUCGAGCGAACAGACGAGGAGCUUGCUCCUCUGACGUUAGCGGCGGACGGGUGAGUAACACGUGGAUAACCUACCUAUAAGACUGGGAUAACUUCGGGAAACCGGAGCUAAUACCGGAUAAUAUAUUGAACCGCAUGGUUCAAUAGUGAAAGACGGCUUUGCUGUCACUUAUAGAUGGAUCCGCGCCGCAUUAGCUAGUUGGUAAGGUAACGGCUUACCAAGGCAACGAUGCGUAGCCGACCUGAGAGGGUGAUCGGCCACACUGGAACUGAGACACGGUCCAGACUCCUACGGGAGGCAGCAGUAGGGAAUCUACCGCAAUGGGCGAAAGCCUGACGGAGCAACGCCGCGUGAGUGAUGAAGGUCUUCGGAUCGUAAAACUCUGUUAUUAGGGAAGAACAAAUGUGUAAGUAACUAUGCACGUCUUGACGGUACCUAAUCAGAAAGCCACGGCUAACUACGUG